UUGCCAGGGAGGGGCGAGUGUUGGUAUAGUGGUCAAGAGCGUGGCUUUGUAAGUGGGAGGUCCCCACUAUACCAACACUCGCCCCUCCCUGGCAAGAU
rnacentral:pre_miRNA from 1 species